UUCCGGUUGAUCCCGCCGGACCCCACUGCUAUCGGGAUAGGACUAAGACAUGCUAGUCAAGCGCUUUCUAGCUAAUGUGAGAGCGCGGCGUACAGCUCAGUAACACGUGGCCAACCUGCCCUUGGGACGGGAACACCCCCGGGAAACUGGGGUUAAUUCCCGAUAGGUGAAGAAGUCUGGAAUGAAUCUUCGCUCAAAAGACGUUUAUGUCAUGCUCAUAUUCGUCGCCCAGGGAUGGGGCCGCGACCGAUCAGGUAGUUGGUGAGGCAAUGGCUCACCAAGCCUUUUACCGGUGCGGGCCGUGAGAGCGGGAGCCCGGAGAUGGGCACUGAGACAAGGGCCCAGGCCCCACGGGGCGCAGCAGUCGCGAAAACUUUGCAAUACACGAAAGUGUGACAGGGCUAUCCCGAGUGCCAUCCGCUGAGGAAGGCUUUUACCCAGUAUAAAUAGCUGGGAGAAUAAGGAGAGGGCAAGUCUGGUGUCAGCCGCCGCGGUAAUACCAGCUCUCCGAGUAGUGUGGACGUUUAUUGGGCCUAAAGCAUCCGUAGCUUGCUAGAUAAGUCCUCUGUUAAAUCCACCGAUUCAAUCGUUGGAUUGCGGGGGAUACUGUUUGGCUAGGGGACGGGAGAGGUCGACGGUAUUUCCGGGGUAGGGGUGAAAUCCUAUAAUCCCGGGAAGACCACCAGUGGCGAAGGCUGUCGACUAGAACGCGCCCGAC
rnacentral:rRNA from 1 species